rnacentral:rRNA from 1 species
UGCNNAAUGAUUUUUAAUGGCCGCAGUAUUUUAACUGUGCAAAGGUAGCAUAAUCAUUUGUCUCUUAAUUGGAGGCUUGUAUGAAUGGGUUGACGAAAAGUUUACUUUCUUUUUCCAAUUUUUAUGAAUUUAAUUUCUCAGUCAAAAAGCUGAGAUUUUUUUGGAGGACGAGAAGACCCUAUAGAUCUUUAUUUAUUUUAGUAUAGGUUUUAUUUGGUUAUGAUUUUAAUUUAUGUUAAAAUGAAUUUUGUUGGGGCGAUACUGAGAUUUAUUUAACUCUUGGUUUUUAAUUUUCAUUAAUUAAUGUUUUUUUGAUCCAAUAUUAUUGAUUAUAAGAUUAAGUUACCUUAGGGAUAACAGCGUAAUUCUUUUGGAGAGUUCAUAUCGAUAAAAGGGUUUGCGACCUCGAUGUUGGAUUAAAAUUAAUUUUGGGUGUAGGAGCUCAAUAAGUUAAGUC